rnacentral:rRNA from 1 species
GACGAACGCUGGCGGCGUGCUUAACACAUGCCAGUCGAACGGAAAGGCCCUGCUUUUGUGGGGUGCUCGAGUGGCGAACGGGUGAGUAACACGUGAGUAACCUGCCCUUGACUUUGGGAUAACUUCGGGAAACUGGGGCUAAUACCGUAUAGGAGCUCUUGCGGCAUGGUGGGGUUUGGAAGUUUCCGGCGGUUGGGGAUGGACUCGCGGCUUAUCAGCUUGUUGGUGGGGUAGUGGCUUACCAAGGCUUUGACGGAUAGCCGGCCUGAGAGGGUGACCGGCCACAUUGGGACUGAGAUACGGCCCAGACUCCUACGGGAGGCAGCAGUGGGGAAUAUUGCACAAUGGGCGGAAGCCUGAUGCAGCAACGCCGCGUGCGGGAUGACGGCCUUCGGGUUGUAAACCGCUUUCGCCUGUGACGAAGCGUGAGUGACGGUAAUGGGUAAAGAAGCACCGGCUAACUACGUG